rnacentral:rRNA from 1 species
UACGAAGGGGGCUAGCGUUGCUCGGAAUUACUGGGCGUAAAGGGCGCGUAGGCGGCUCGUCAAGUUGGGGGUGAAAGCCCAGGGCUCAACCUUGGAAUUGCCUUCAAAACUGACGAUCUAGAGUAUGGAAGAGGUAAGUGGAACUCCGAGUGUAGAGGUGAAAUUCGUAGAUAUUCGGAAGAACACCAGUGGCGAAGGCGACUUACUGGUCCAUGACUGACGCUGAGGCGCGAAAGCGUGGGGAGCAAACAGG